GUCCAGAGCCUCUGAAUGAAGCGACUACUGAUAUUUCUUGUUUGAAAGUCGCAGAGAGAGACUGAUGAUCUGGAGGUCCUAAAUAAUCCGUCCACACCUGGACCCAGGUGGACUUCUCGGUCAGGCUGACAGAGAUAACGCCUCUACACUGAACAGACAGUUCAUUAAUAAGUACAAAAAGUAUUAAUUAUUAACCCAAAAAAGUAAUCUUCGAUCAAUAUAACUGAGGAGUUAUGUUUUAAUACUUUUUAUCAGCAGUUUGUUCUCUUCUGUUUACAAUUGUCUGUCUUUAAACUGUCUUUGGGCUGUUUACUUACUAAAUAUCCAUCAAAUAACUGUAAAAAUACGUUUACACACAUUGAUCAAUAACGACAUAAUUAUACAAUCUAUAUCAUUUGCAACCUUAAACUGUACUACAAAUAAUAAUGCUAAUUAUAUUAUUUCUGUGUAUGUAAUAAUGUUGCUGUCCACAGACUGAAACACUAAAUAUUCAAUAUUAAAACUAUUAAGUCUGAGUUAAUAUUUUUUAUUAUUUUCUCUAGUCACGGCUGAUUUGGAUGUGGUUACACUGAAACAGAUAAUGCUAAAGAUUAGUUAGCGAGGACGAGGCUAGCGCUUCCUUCCCUCAACAAACAUGGCGGCUCGGUACCGCUAUUUGCCACAAGAAGCGGGGAAAUAACGACUACCGUUGGUUUUGUCUUCCACAAAGUGAACAGAACACUCUCCCCGUGUUAUCCGAGAACUACGGUGAAACCGCCGAGCUGAGAGAGAAGCGACCGCACGGCUUCACCUCGAAAACCGCAGCAUCUCCAUCUUCUGAGGCCGCUCAGAGACGCCAUUUUCUGCCCCAACUUCACCUGCAGCGUAAGGAGAAGGAGGAGGGCGCCGCCCGCAGGCCGAACACAGGAGUUACAGCCUGGACCACAGAGUCUCAACCUCAUUAAAACAUGAGUGGUUGUUGAAUCAUUAAUAAAGUGUUUAAUGAACAGUAAUGUCCAGAUGAUGUAAACUGAGAACACAUGAACACAUCUCUGUUCAUCAUGAUGACAGUUUAUUUUUAUCAACUCUGAAAAAUCUAUAAAAAGCAAAGUGUUAAAAAUGACACUGAAUGAGAGAGUCACUGAUAAUAAAGUGUAAAUACUGUGA